CAAUAGCUUGCUAAUGAAAUUCUUAGUGGCGGACGGGUUAGUAACACGUGAGAAUCCUACCCUUGAGUGGGGAAUAGCCUUUCGAAAGGAAGAUUAAUGCCCCAUAGUCUCUACGGAGUAAAGAUGCCUUCGGGUGUCGCUUAAGGAUGGGCUCGCGGCCUAUCAGCUAGUUGGUGAGGUAAGAGCUCACCAAGGCAACGACGGGUAGCUGGUCUGAGAGGACGAUCAGCAACACUGGAACUGAGACACGGUCCAGACACCUACGGGUGGCAGCAGUCGAGAAUCAUUCACAAUGGACGAAAGUCUGAUGGUGCAACGCCGCGUGGAGGAUGACGGCCCUAGGGUUGUAAACUCCUGUCAUCAGGGAGUAAGACUUAUUCGUUAAUAGCGUGUAAGUUUGAUAGUACCUGAAGAGGAAGGGACGGCUAACUUCGUGCCAGCAGCCGCGGUAAUACGAAGGUCCCAAGCGUUGUUCGGAAUAACUGGGCGUAAAGCGUGUGUAGGCCGCGCGGAAAGUCGGAUGUGAAAGCCCAAGGCUCAACCUU
rnacentral:rRNA from 1 species